UGCCUCCGCAUGCAUGCAAGGUUCGGCGGCCGAACUUGGAGUUCGGCGGCCGAACCUGCAUUUCCCUCACUCAAAAUUUUCGGGCGCCUAAAGUCCCUCCGAAAGCAUGCAUGUUCGGCGGCCGAACCUCAAAGUUCGGCGGCCGAACCUGGGUUUUCCUCCAAAGAUUUUUCAUGCAAAAACCCAUUUAAUUCUUACUUAAAAACAUGAAAUACA
rnacentral:lncRNA from 1 species